UCCUUAUCUCUGCUUGGGGUGACGCUGCAAGAUCAGACGGAAACAUGACUUAUUAUGGUAGGCUCAGUCUCGUAUGUUCUUUUACCCCGCAGCUAAUCAAUUAUUCUGUGAUGUCCUCUCUUGUAUUCUAAUUAUGGCAUGCUCUUGUCUAUACUAAUUAGAUCAUGCAUUCAUUCAAGGUCAAGUCAGGGGCUCAGGGUAGACAGUUCAUAGUUUUCUUGCUGUUUCGUCUUUCUGCUGUUAGUUCAUUAUGCACGUCUUCUUUCUAUGCAUGUGUUGAUAACUCCAGUUGUUCCAAUCUGAUGAUGCUUUUUUUCGUGUUGUUGCUUCUGUAGGUUCUGAGAAUUUUACAUGGAUCAGGAAAUUCUAAUGUUUGACUUUGUAGUACUCAGGUAACAAUGACGUUUUGUGUAAUGUAGAUUAUUUAAAGAUUAUUGAUUUGAUAGCACUGAGAUUUCUCCUAAUACACCAUAGCAAGCAUGACUAAUAAAUCGUCCCAAAAAUGGGUAGUACAGGAGUGAUGUGCCCCAAAGCUAAUUAGUGUAGAGACCAUUGGAAAAUAGAAAUAUUGAAUUAUGUAUAGUUGGUAUAACUAGUCACCUAGAAUACUUAUCAUUUAGUCGGUUGCUGAAUUCAUCUCACUAUUAAUAUUAAUAUAAUUUUGGAUAAUUUUUGGUAGUAAACACAAGCAGAUGGUUGUUCACAAUGAAUAGCUACGUAUGAUUGGUCAAAGGUACUCGGUGUUUUAAUACAUAGUUUUUAUCUUAAAGAGCCAUGGGUAUUCAGAACAUGUGCAUGACAAUUAAGAGAGAAAUAGAAUGUCCUCGGUUUACAAAGUAAGGGUGAAGACCCGGAGUCUCUGUGUUUGUACUUCAUAGCAUGGCAAUCACCCUUUCGCUAGUGCGUAUUUUGUUAUUUCUUUACAGAGCGAUGCUACUGAUGUUGCAAGUAUCUGCACUUUCCACUUCUGCAUUUUGGUCUUUUUUAUAAAAAAAUAGACUGGAACACUAAAACUAUAUAAUGAUAGUUCAUAUAGUUUUGAAUUUAUGCGAGAUGCAAAAAAAGUUAGUACAUGGAUAUAGGGCAUAAUCAUGUUGUUUAAUAAUUGUUGUAGAUGUUUUUAUAACCAGAUUAUUAAUUAUCCCACCUCUAUGUACAAAUCUAAGUUUUGGUAAAAAACAUUUGUACGGUGCUCCUUUAAAUUUUACUUCUAUAUUAAUCUAAUUUACUUUACUAUAAUUUCUCGCCUCAUAUUGUUAUUUUGUAGAUUACCAAGAUAAAUUGAGGAUGCAUGACUCAGAUUUUGAUUGCAAGGCUAAGAAGAUUUUGAUUCCGAGGCAAAUAAUUUGGCUACAAGUCAAUUAGAAUGUAAUUUUUAGUAUCAAUGUUACAAACAUUAUAGUUGAUGGCAAGGUCAAGAAUUGGCCUACUACUAGAUAGUUUCACCUCUUGUAAUCUUUGGACCAUGUUCUUUGUAAUGCCACAUAUUUUAUUUAAUAUAUGAGACUGGAUUGUUU
rnacentral:lncRNA from 1 species